rnacentral:rRNA from 1 species
AUCCCAUCCCGAACUCAGAAGCGAAGUGCCUUAGCGCCGAUGGUACUGUAGCGUUCGCUACGGGAGAGUAGGUCGAUGCCAAGA